rnacentral:misc_RNA from 1 species
AAAAAAUGAAAAAUAGAUAAAUAAUAAAUUACAUAUAUACAUGUCAUUAUUACACAUGAUUGAUUGAUUCUAUCAUCCAUCUAUUUUGUGUCAUUAUUGCACAAACAAAUCAUCACCAAAGAGGUAUAGAAUUCUCUCAACAGCCCAACUAGGCUCAGGCUUGACCCAAGCCAAGCUCUGUGAACUGGUCAAAAGAGGGGCCCUACAUAGUGGACAAGUUUUGUGAUUAUCAUCAUGAUCAUCAUCGCGAUCAUGAUCAACCCAUCUUUCAAUGCACUCUCCAUGGAACACGUGGCAGCAGUUCCUUAGUUCUCUGACUUCAUCAUGCUCUCUCAAAUGGCCCAAGCAGACAGCACACGUGUCACAAGCUCCUGAAAUCCUAUCAGUGAGGUCACCAAAAGUGGUUAAAAUCAGACCGUCCCUUAUCUGUUGAGAAGAAGGGAGAGAAUGGGAUUGGUGUAGAGAAUCAUUGGUGGAAGGAGCAGGCAAAUGGGUUCUGUUUCUGAACUUGAGAGCCCAAGACAAGGACCAUCGCAAGACUGCAAGAAUCACAGCUGCCUUGUACAAGAGAUGGGUUACUAUUACACAAGAAUCCUCCUCAAAGAAACCCAUUAAAAGAAAGCAGAAGUUUAUCAAGAACAAGAAGCAGCAGCAGCAGCAGCCAAGAUCCAAGGAGAAGGAAGGAGAAGAAGAAGAGAGAAAGGGGGAGGAUUCGUCAUAUUCUGGCUCAG